rnacentral:rRNA from 1 species
GACGAACCGGUGCGAACGUUGUUCGGAAUCACUGGGCUUAAAGGGCGCGUAGGCGGACGGCAAAGUCGAGGGGUGAAAUCUUUCGGCCCAACCGGAAAAGGGCCCCUGAUACUUGUCGUCUCGAGGGAGGUAGGGGUUGGUGGAACGUUCCGGUGGAGCGGUGAAAUGCGUAGAUAUCGGAAGGAACGCCGGUGGCGAAAGCGGCCAACUGGACCUCUUCUGACGCUGAGUGCGCGAAGCUAGGGAGCGAACGGG